AAUGAACGUUGGCGGCAUGGAUUAGGCAUGCAAGUCGAGCGAGAAGUGUAGCAAUACACGGAAAGCGGCGGAAGGGAGAGUAAUACGUGGGAAUCUGCCCUUAGACCUGGGAUAGCAGCGGGAAACUGCUGGUAAUACCAGAUACUGUCUAUGGACCAAAGGUGUGAUUCCGUCUAGGGAUGAGCCCACGUCCUAUUAGCUAGUUGGUAGGGUAAUGUCCUACCAAGGCGAUGAUGGGUAGCGGGUGUGAGAGCAUGACCCGCCUCACUGGGACUGAGACACAGCCCGGACACCGACGGGUGGCUGCAGUCGAGAAUCUUCGGCAAUGGGCGAAAGCCUGACCGAGCGAUGCGGCGUGCGGGAUGAAGGCCUUCGGGUUGUAAACCGCUGUCGAGGGGGAGCAACUUCCAUAGAGUUAUCUUUAUGGAUUGAGUGAUCCCUGGAGGAAGGACGGGCUAAGUUCGUGCCAGCCGCCGCUGUAAAAC
rnacentral:rRNA from 1 species